UUUGAUUCUCUAGUUGGAGCAGCAGCAUUUGGUUGGAGCAUGAGUCUUUCAAACCCACAAAAAGUCAGGUUAAGCACCUGAAAAUCAAGAAUACCUAAAGCAAACGGGUGAGAAGAGUUUUGUAUGCAUAAGAGAUGCAACAAUUGCCUACAUGAACGAGAAAAAAAAAUACAAAAAGCUUUUUAUGCCGUGCUUGUAGGGAUCAAAAGUUGGUCACCUUGCAGUCCGUAAGUUAUUUAAUUUACAAAAUGUGAGUGUAUUAGUUAAAAUAAAUUGUUGAGUAGUGAUACUAAUUUUAUUAUCUAAUAGGUUUUUACUUCAAAUUUUUAUUAUCAAUAUUUAAUAUUUAUUUAAAGUUGUUUAUUUUCUCUUGCAGUGGUGAUCAAUUUCUGUAAUUCCAUUUAUUGGGACAGAGUUCUUGAUAGAGGAAAUGACCAAAAAAAUUGAAUUGGAAAUCACAAGGCCGCAUGAAUCUUGGUUUCAAGGAGUGCAGGUGGCGGGAUGGACCCAAGUAUACGGGAAUAUUCUAACAUUUGCGACAAUAAAAGGCGCAGGUCAUAUUUAGACGAUGCUUUUCCACCGGAGAGAAUAUUUGUGAUGUGGAAGACAUUUUUGGAAGGAAAACCACUUCCAAUACUUGGGAAUAUUCUAACAUUUGCGACAAUAAAAGGCACGAGUCAUAUUCAUCCGAAGCUUUUCCACCGGAGAAAACAUUUGUGAUAUGGAAGACAUUUUUGAAAGGAAAACCACUUCGAAAGAGACCCCAUUCCAUUAUUAAAAAAAGAUAUUAAGAAAAAAAAUACAAUUAUAUAACAUUAUUUAAGCAAAAAGUACAAUUAUGUAACAUUAGUUUUUUUUUUGAAUACAUUUGAUGUGAUUUUAAUGAAGUGUGUAUUGACUGGUAUUUUUUAUAAAUAGUAAUUAUAGAAGCAAUUCAUAACUAGAUUAUAGUAAAAAAUUACUCGGAUUAAUAUUACAAAGAUAAAUUUAUUAUCAGUUUAUUAAUCAUAUUUGAAGCUGAGGCUGAACAAUAGUCAUAUAAACAAUGUUUAAAUUGGUUAUAGAUUAAUGAAAGAA